rnacentral:rRNA from 1 species
GACGGGGGGGGCAAGUGUUCUUCGGAAUCACUGGGCUUAAAGGGCGCGUAGGCGGUUCUCCAAGUCAGGGGUGAAAUCCUGCGGCUUAACCGUAGAAGUGCCUUUGAUACUGGAGAUCUUGAGGGAGGUAGGGGUCCGUGGAACUUCUGGUGGAGCGGUGAAAUGCGUUGAUAUCAGAAGGAACGCCGGUGGCGAAAGCGACGGACUGGAUCUCUUCUGACGCUGAGGCGCGAAAGCUAGGGGAGCGAAUGGG